AACGAACGCUGGCGGCAUGCCUAACACAUGCAAGUCGAACGAGAUCUUCGGGUCUAGUGGCGCACGGGUGUGUAACGCGUGGGAAUCUGCCCUUUGGUUCGGAAUAACAGUUGGAAACGACUGCUAAUACCGGAUGAUGACGAAAGUCCAAAGAUUUAUCGCCAGAGGAUGAGCCCGCGUAGGAUUAGCUAGUUGGUGUGGUAAAGGCGCACCAAGGCGACGAUCCUUAGCUGGUCUGGGAGGAUGAUCAGCCACACUGGGACUGAGACACGGCCCAGACUCCUGCGGGAGGCAGCAGUGGGGAAUAUUGGACAAUGGGCGAAAGCCUGAUCCAGCAAUGCCGCGUGAGUGAUGAAGGCCUUAGGGUUGUAAAGCUCUUUUACCCGGGAUGAUAAUGACAGUACCGGGAGAAUAAGCUCCGGCUAACUCCGUGCCAGCAGCCGCGGUAA
rnacentral:rRNA from 1 species